rnacentral:siRNA from 1 species
UAAAUCGGUAGCUGCUGCGUUGCC